UUUUAAUUAGGAAAAUAGGUAAUUAAGCAAAUAAAUAGUUAAUUAAAGUCUAAUGGUAAGGAAAUUUAUUAAUUUCAUAAAAAGGAAAAAAGAAACUUAUGAAGGUAAACUUAUGAAAGUUUAUAAAAUGAUAAAGUAAACUUAUCUACUCUAUAAAAAUAUAGCUAGUUAAUUAAUGGACUAUACAAUAUAAAUAUAUAUAAAGUAAACUUAUCAGUAAUAGAUAAACAUAUACAGAGUAAUAAAUAAAGGAUACAGGUUGGAUCAGAUGCGGCGUCUCUUGCGAGGUGGUGCGCAGUCGUCCUCAGGGAGAGCGAUGCAGUGGCCCCCCGGCUUGUGGUCCCUGUCCGGUCGAGGCUCCAGCUGUCUGCAGGCAGUUGGGAGGACCCUGGUCUUCAGUAAUGUUUAGUGAGAGAGCGAUCUAGACUGAUGAGAAACUCACCGACAUCUGGGAGGUAAAGCAACUGAGCGAAUCCAUCCGGCCUAAGGAGAGGAAAGGAUGGACAGAGGAACACCAAGGUCUCCACUGUAGCAACUCCGGGUACUGAAAACAACAUCACCUAUUUUUACACACAAUUCCAGUACAUUUAUUCCACAUACUGAAUAUCAGCACUUCUACAUUACUGAACAGAUCCAACAUGUGAUAUUAGUGUAGAAAUGCUGAUUUAUUGAUCCUGUACUGAAAAUGCUGAUUUAUCACUGAAGCUCUAAUCAUUACUGUGGAGGAGAAAAGCUUUCUAUCGCAUUUUUAAUCACAUAAAGAGCUGAGAGUAAAAAAGCUGCACUGUCUCCUCAGUGAUUAAACUCUCCAUCCGGACCACAGUAAGAUCUGCAACGGAUUAGCGGGACUCCAGCGGGUGACUUUAGUAACAGUGCUGAUUUUCUUCAGAAAACGUUUUUUGUCGCUUUUGAAAGCGCAGCGCUGUGUGAACAGGGCUGAACGGACUCCUGUUUCUACUUCACUUCAGUAUUUAAAUACAGGAGCUUCAUGUUUCUUACCCUGAAGAAGAGCACGAAGGUUUGGUCUGGGGAAACGGGGGUAGUAGUCAUCCAGCCAGUCCAGGAAGUCCAGCAGCUCCGCAGCGCCAUCUGAAAAAUACACCGGAAAAGGCAUAGUGAGAAGCACUGACAGAAACGAGAGAAAUUAAUAAGAAAUUAAUAAGAAAUUAAUGAGAAAUUAGUGAGAAAUAUUGAGAAAAGAGUGAGAAUUGGUGAAGUGAGUUGAGGAUAAUCCGCAGAUCAAAAUCGCUCGUGUUCAGCCUUGAACUUCUCAGUCCAAAGUGAGCUUCAAAUAUUCAAAUCUAAACCUUCUAAACCGAGCUGUUGCUUAGUAUCGCGAUUUAACCCAAAACACCAAAGACCAAAAAAAAAACAGUCUAUAUUUAUAU
rnacentral:lncRNA from 1 species